rnacentral:rRNA from 1 species
UGGGGAAUAUUGCACAAUGGGCGGAAGCCUGAUGCAGCGAUGCCGCGUGGAGGAAGAAGGUUUUCGGAUUGUAAACUCCUUUUAUCAGGGACGAUAAUGACGGUACCUGAAGAAAAAGCUCCGGCUAACUACGUGCCAGCAGCCGCGGUAAUACGUAGGGAGCGAGCGUUGUCCGGAAUUACUGGGUGUAAAGGGAGCGUAGGCGGUGGUUUAAGUCUGAUGUGAAAGCCCGGGGCUCAACUCCGGUAUUGCAUUGGAAACUGGAUCACUAGAGUGUCGGAGGGGUAAGUGGAAUUCCUAGUGUAGCGGUGAAAUGCGUAGAUAUUAGGAGGAACACCGGUGGCGAAGGCGGCUUACUGGACGAUUACUGACGCUGAGGCUCGAAAGCGUGGGGAGCAAACA